UACUGUUUGUCCUUUUUGUAGAUAUUUUUUCACAGUAUUGUUGUUGGGACUUAAUCUUCAUACUAGUUUUAUGAAGCAAGAGUACAGCAAGAAAUGCGUUAAAGUGUUUGACAUCAGAAAGGAAAUGGAGGAAAAUAACCAAGGAAAAGCAUGGAGAAGAAAGAGCUCAUCCACCAAGAUGACUGCAUCUCAGUCAGAACGAGUAACAGAAUCCAAACCUUUGAAGAAAUUCAUCAUUCCCAAGAUUAGGAGAACAAAUGGAAAAGUUUCCUUGACACCAUGUUACCCCAAUGGGAGGGAACACAGUUUCAUAAGCCACACUCUAAACCAGAGUAGGCUUGAUAUGAGCUUUGACCUAAGUUCUUCAUGGCAGUUUGGUGAUAGAAAACUGGUUCACAAUCAAACCUUGGAAAAAAAAUAUGCUGCAAAAAGGUUGGAGAUGCGUGAGAAAGGAAGGCAUGGUAGAGAACUUGAGGAACAUUUCUGCUUUUUAGCUCUUCCUCAAAGUGCUGUAUCAGAAAUAUGUCAGAGUGGAAUUCGUACUAAGGAAUCUGUCCUGAAAACAUUAGGAAAUCCUCUCCUUGGUGUUUAUUUGUUUAGACAUGUUGAUGUUGCCUUAAAUUAUGCUCGCAGUAGAAACGAGAGGGUAGAAAAUGUCUUGCUUUUCAAGGUUCUCUUUGGUAGAGUGAAGAAAAUACAGCCUAUUUUGGAUAAAAGGAAAGUUAUUUUGGAUCCUUCACCUAACUUUGACUGCCACAUAUCUAGGAGUGUACCUUCACCUAAAGAUAUCAUCGAUUACCAAGCCAGUGACUCAGCAGUGUACAUCUAUGAAUAUAGUGUUCUUUCAAAACCAGUGGAUAAACCUAGGCAGUGUCUCCCAUUUGCAAUAGUAGCAGUAAAAUUCAUUGGUCAGAAAAUGGAUGUCCCCUUUAUAACAUCUAUGAGGUUUUUGUCUACAGAAUUUCCAAAGUGGACUGACGGAAGAGAUUCCUUGAAAAACUGCACCAUAGCCAAAAGAAUUGGUAAAGGAAAAGAUGCGACUAUCAUCUAUGAACAUUUCAGGAACCCCAUUGAUUCUUCUGACUGUAAGACUCAGGACAGGUGCUCAUGUGGUGAACUCAAUUCAGAUGUUAGUCCUCAUUGCUCAAAUAUUUCUCCUUCUUGUGGAAAUAUACAUUAUCAAAACAUCAUUGAGGCCGAAACCUCUGAUGGCCAGACAGAGCACAACUUAACAGGAGGCAGGACCUCAUCCCAAGUGCAGUCAAGUGAGCCAGGUCUGCCAUUUGGGCCUUAUUUAGAUUUUGAUGAAAGUAUUCAAUUGAGUUGUAUUGAGAAGAUUUUAAAGAGACUUUAUACUUCUGCUCCUGUUAGCAACAGUGUUGAUUCAAGCACUGUAAUUACUUCAAAACUCAUCAAGGAUCCAAGACUGAUGCGACGAGAAGGAAACAAUGAAAUACAAAAUCCCAAGACAGAUGUACAAGAAAUUCCACCUUCAGAAAAUAUUCCGAAAUGUUGUAGUUCAGAUAUGAGUCUGUCAUCUCCACCACCUGAUACUGUCUUCCUACCUGAAUCUAUCAUGGGCAACUGCUCAUAUCCUAAUAACCCAGGGGUUUGUCAAUAUGCUAAGGGUCCUCUUCAAGACACACAGAUGACCACAAUAGAGGACCAAAGGAAAGACCAAAACAGUGUUGAUUCCAAAGCUUUACCACCCAUUUCAGAUGAGAAAAUAAUUUCUAAAGGGGAGAAUCAGAAGGAUGAUAGUCAAAAAGCAAAACAAUCCAGGCAGAUGAGUAACAUCCUUGGUCCCAUUAAGUGGCAAAACAAGGUGCAGAUUCCAUCACCAAAGAACCAUUCUCCAGACCAAAGAACUUCAGUGCAAGCAAAUUCUAAAAAGCUCAAUAGUCAGAGUUCUCAGAAAUCUCAGUCUAGUAAUUUGGAAACGGUACCCCAUAUUAGCCAAAAAUAUUCUUCUGGAAAGCCACUGCACAGUGGGGAAAAAAGCACACAGCACCUUCAAAACACUGAGAAGCUUAUGUGCCUUAAAUCUAGGAUGGAAGGUAAAUCCUUACAUAGAAAAAUACAUGACCCACAGAAAGAGAAUGGAAAUCACUGCACCACUGGAAAGAAAAACAAUUCAACAGUUUUUUCUGUCCCACACAAUGAAAAGGAUAUUUUCAUUUCCUCCCAUCAAGAACACAAAUGCGGUGCUGAGGUUCUCAAUACUUUUGGAAAAAAUGAUAAAGUAUCUAGUCUGGUGAGAAAACUACAUCCUUCUACAGUUACCAAAGAGGAACUAAAAAAAGAUGGCAUGGAUCUCAUGGCCUGUGAGUUACUUAAUAAUGGCCAAAGAACAGAGGACAGUCUACAGAAACAACAUGAAGACCUUUUUCCAUGUGAAAAGAUGGAUGUAGAUCAAAGCCUUGCAACCUCUCAAAGUAUAAUUGACCUGGAUAUGGAAAAUUCAAAUAGUAAGUGCAUCAAGAUAAAAUCAAACACUUCCCAGAAAGUAGAAGACACCCCUGCAGCCACCAAAACACUGAAUCGUUCAGUGAAUUCAUCGUCUGCCCUCUACACACCAGGAAACAAUGAAAUAAAGGGCAAAAAUGUUUUUUAUUUAUAUCCCCUUGGAAAAAAUGAAAAGGCACUUGAAAUAAACAAGAAAUAUAAAGACAAUUUGAAGACUUUUUUGGAUGGAGAUGUUUUUAAGGAUCAAGAACAUCCAGUAUUCUGCAAUCCAGAUACAGGAGAUGCUCUACAGUUUCCUAGCCUCAACACUGAUUUCAAACAAGUAUGUCAACUUGCAAAGAAAUAUGAUAUCAAAGAAAGAGGUGACCAAGAGAUGGCCAGAGAGAGUUGUGCUUCAGAAGGAGAAAACAGAGUGGAAAACACUUCAACAGAGAAGGGAGAGCAUUCUACAAUUGAAGACUUGACCAACAUUUUUGAUAGUGUGAAAGAAAUAAAAAAAUAUGACAGUUUAGGCAUGACAGGUUCCGAAAGAUUUUCUUCUGGAGUUGAGUUAACUUGGGAAGAAAGAUGUGCAGUUUCAGAAACUGCUUCAAUUAAAGUGGAAAAUAUUGCAACUGCUAUAAGGGAAAAAGGUAUAAAUGAACAUGGUGAUGUUAACUUACAGCAGUUACCUGCUACAGCAGUGUUUUCCCGGUCUCCUGAUCCCUCAGUGAGUUACACGUAUUCAAGCUCAGAUACCAGGAAUAUUCCUCUCCCCAUUUUCAAUUUGGAACCUUCAGAUAGCCAAAGAAACCAGACUGGUGAAAUGUGUGUUUCUGAAAGUGUUUCAGAGAAAAAUGGAUUUUAUGAUUGGAAAUAUAGUGUGGAGAAAGAUAACUUCCAGGAAUUAUCUCAGUGGCAUGUAUUAAAGGAGAAAUUAAAAGAUUUGAUCAUUCAGGGCCCAGACUUCGAAAGUGAGAUUGAAGUUUCAUUAAUGCAGUGUGAAGACUCUUCAAACUCCAACCAUGGAGAUGCACCUGAUGAUUUUGAAGAAUUUAAUUCAGUGUACAAUUUUCUAAAAUCACGUAUUAACUGGGGAAGUUUGUUUGAAAGCAGUAGUUGGAGUGCAAAAAUUUCAAAAGGUGAACUCAUAGAAAAUAGAAGUCAGUGCAUUUUUCAAGAAAAUAAUUUCCAUUCUUGCAUACAGCAGAACAGUACAAAACCCUUAAAUACAACUAUGCUCCCAGACUUAAAAAUCAUAAUUACUAAUGUACUUGAAACAGAAUUUGACCCUUAUGACCCUUAUAAACUCGAAGAUGAUAUAUGGGAUUGUGUAUUUCAAUCACUUGAACCAGAAAUUGAUAUAGAAUGGCCAAGACAACAAGAAAUCAAAGAAUAUUCCCAGCCUCCUUGUGAAAAUUUUAGUCAUCCUUUUGAAGAUGAAUUAGGGAGUAGUUUAAGUCAGGAAACAGAACUUUUCAAUGAAUGGGAAGGGUCCCUGUCACGUGACAUGGUUCAUGACCCAGAUAGUGAUUGUGUGCCUGAAAAACAAAGCUGUACAUUUUUAACUGAACCUGCUAUUUUUUCUGAGUCGAUGAACAGUGCAAGCAAUAGUUCCCUGGAAAAUCUAAAGAAUAAUUGUGAUGAGGCUCAGGAGCAAAAAGAUAGGGGAUCAAAAGUUAAUAAAAGAAAACGUCUUCCUGCUUCUCAGACCAAUGAGGUUAUACCACAUAAAAAUUUACAAUCUCAAGAGGAUUGUAGAAAAAAACUGAAGGUGGUUAGUCAUCAGCCCUUUGAAAAAUUUUUGUCACUAUCUGAGGGAAGGAUUAAAACAUUUUCACAGUCUGAAAAGCACAUAAGAAGUGUUCUCAACACUCUUAAUAGUGAAGUAUCCCUGUGCAAAAGCAGACGUCUGUCCAAGAAACUAGACAGAGCUGUUCUUCACUUAAAGAAAGCUCAGAGGAGAGUAUACAGAUCAUUACAACUUGUAGCUAAAGUGGGAGAGAAAAGGAGAGAGGGCCCAUUGCCAAAGUCGUAUGAAGUUACAUGUAACAACUUCUGGGAGAUUUGCGACCUUGAAGGCUUUAGAUUUGUGACACGGAGAAAAUAUCACUCCACUAGAUAUUCUUCAGGGAAAAGAAAAUAUGCUAAAAAGGAAGAGAAAAAAACUGUCGCAUUGGAGGCAAGUAAUACACAGACACGAAAGUUGAAGCACAAGUGUAAAAGAAAAGGGGUCAGAACUAGAAAGUCCAUUUCAACAGAAGAUGCUACCAGUGAAUUCUCAAGAGGCCAAAUGAGAGCUCAUUUGAAGGAGAAUCGUAAUCAGGAGAAUCAUUUUGAGUUAGAUUUAGUAGAGCCGUCCUCUUUACAGUCUACAAGUUCUUCCUCAGCUUGUAAAAGUGGCAUUCUAAAGAAUCAACAAAGACCAUCCUAUCUUCAGGCUGUUCCUGAAAAAGUCACAUCUUUGGAUUCCACCCGGCCACGAGAUAGGAAACUCCCCGAUGAGGUUGGCCAGGCUAAUUUUAAAACUGUGCCUAAAGUGCACCCUAAAGGUACGCAAAGAGAAUUCUGCUCUGUAUCUGAUAAAUCUUUCAGUGAACAUCAUUCAAGAUUUUAUAUUUCCCCUGAGGAAAAUAUAAUAUUGAAUUCUGAUCAACCUGUUCGCAAAGAUAACUCAGUAAUUAACCCUGGUGUACUUAUUUCAGUUUUAAAAUUAAAUGGGGAGCACUUAAAUGAGGACACCUACAAAUCAGAUGUUCCAGUUGCUUCUGUCCAUCAUGAAAGUGAGGAAGUCACCCUUGACAUGGAAAAAUUUCCAGUGCUGGCAGAAGAUGCAAAUCAAAAUAUUGGUACUGCAGUCUUUCCUCUAGGCUCAGAUAAGUCAACUCCCAUAGCUGACCAAAAGUGUGAGACUCAAAUUUUACCAUGCCCCCAGAUUCUAAAUAUUCAAAGUGACUCCUGGAAGUCUAGCUUAGAAAAUCUGUCAGAGAAAGUUUUACGUGUCCAUGCUGUUGAAAUGCCCGUACCACUUAACCGGCAACAGGAAAAUAACGAAACUGAGAUUUCAGAGGAAGAAUUGUAUUCUUCAAAUGACUGCAGCCAAAGAGUCAAAAAGGAAAUGUAUGUUGCUGAGAACGUUAACUUGGAGCUGCGGCCAGUUUCUUCAGCCAUAGAAAUUGGUAAUUGUGAGAACAAGGCUGAUAUGAGCUCUUUAAAUGACAGCCCUAGGUUCUUUGGUGACAACUCACUGAUUCGAUCUCAUACAUUCAUAUCACAAGAAGGUAAUCAGAAUCCAGGCCUAGAACCUGGGAAAAUCAAUCUGCUAAAAGACCAGAUCGAUCCUCCAAAUGAAGAUAUGGAUCUUUCAGGAGAUAUUUUUGAGAGGCCUUCUGCUCAAUUAGAAAGCAUAGAACACAAGAGUUGGUCAUUAGAAGAAGGUUGCUUGGAUUUAACUGAAAACAAACAACUUAAAAAUGACCCAUCUGUUUCUACUCUGAAUACUACAAAUAAUAGUAGUGCUUCUGAUAGGACUAUCUCCUUGAAGGAGACAGCUCCCAAUCUCGACAAAAGAAAGGAAAACCAGAAAGUAAAAAGUAGCAGUGAUUCUCAGUCGAACACUAAGUCACAUUCAGAAAUAACGUAUACUCUGAAACAAGGUAAUAGAAGAGUUACCCCACCUCAGCUAUUUGACAGUAUCUCUCAUCAGGAGCAGGGGACAAUCCCUGAAGGUGAAUUGAAGGAAAACCACUGUUUGGAUGAACGUGCUGGUCUCAUAGAUGAACUAUCUGAAAUUUUACGAAGGGCAGAUGAGGCAUCAUCUUGGGAGGCUGCACAGGUGCAGUUUGAAAUCUGUGAAAGCAUCCUUCCCAUAUUUAUUGAUGCUUUUGAAAGGAAACAGAAAUGCUCAUUUAAGCACAUCUUAGUUUCCCACAAAUUGUUGGUGGAAGACAAUCUGUGGAAUAACUGUAAAGCCACAUUAAGACCACAAGCCAUUGAUCCCUUCGUGGAACUGCAAAUGGUGAUGGAAAUCAUACAGUUUAUUGAAAACAAGAAAAGUUUCUUACGAGGUGAACCCACUUUCCGGAGCCUCCUUUGGUAUGAUGAUUCACUCUACCAUGAGUUGUUUGAAGGGCAGGAUGGAAAUCAACAACAGUCCAGUUUCUAUUCUGUUUUCCAGCAGAGGCUAAAAUGCAAUACUUGGAGUGAGUUAAAAAGACACCAUUUUCAGUUAUCUAAAUUGUUUAAAGAAAUCAAAAGGGAAAACAGUUCAUACUACUCAGUCUUAAAGUGUCAACGGCAAAUUGAUGAGUGUGAAGCAGUACUGCGGCAUUCUUCUGAUGGCUUUGGUUUUAUAAUUUCUCUGCCAUUUACCUGUGGAGCUAAUUUUGGAGAGAGUUUAGAUGAGUUGGAAACUUUAAGAAAAUGUACUUUGGAACUGUUAUAUAACUCUUUGCCUUUUCCUAAAGUUCAUUGUCAUUCAGGAAAACAAGAUCAUCUCUGCAUGAUUUUAGAGGUUAUCUCCUCAAAGGUAAAUUUUAUAAAGAGUUGUGAAUCGAGGAAUGUUCAGAUAUCCCUUUUUGGCAUGGAGCAUAUCUUUUUUGAUGCUGCAAAAAGUCUUGUUUGGAAAAACCAAAGGGAACCUGUAAGCAAAAUGACCUUGCCAGGUAUGAAGAAAGCAGUCUUGUUCAAAUUACACCAAGAUGCUCUUUCAAAACUGCAGGAAAUACAUAAGAAUAUGGCUGAAGAUCUUAGUUUUAAAGAGGCUUCUUGUCUUUUGUCUGUGGAGACUGUUAAAAAUGCUCCCAGGGAAUCCAGUGGCUGGGGCGACAAGGCCAAAUUGAGCAUGGAAAACUGCAGAUUCAACCAUGUUAACAAGGUUUUGCUUUCACGCCCAGAUAUUGGCUGUGUCGGGCAAAUAAUAGAACAAGUCGAGCUUGCGGACCUUGACAAGUUAGAAGAACUGAGACUGAGAUGUACAGAUCACUUGGAGAUCUUAAAACGACUCUUUCAGAUGUUACAAGAAGAAGACAUAAAUCAUAUUUUUAUCUCUGAAGACAAUGUGCUGGACAUAGUGGGGAACCACACUGUCAGUGCUGUAAUUCUAAGGCCUGAAACGGUUGAGAUUUACGUUGAAAUAGUUAUGAUGUCCGAAACAAUCCAUUUUCUUAAAAACGUAGAGGCCAAAAAGCUAGGCAAGGAAAAAUUUCGAGGUAUGCUUUGGUUUGAUUUGUCACUUCUUCCUGAGCUGAUUCAUUUCCAAAAAACAAUGACUUCUUUUUCAUUUCUGCAAGAUGUUUCCACAGAUGGACCUGGGGAUGCAAUGGAGUAUGCCAUUUUGAAAAUUAAGUCUGAGUUGGAUGUGAUCUGCACAUAUUCAGAAGCCAUUAACUAUAGUUAUGCUUUUCAGCUGCUAUCGAGGGAACUUACAGAGCUUUCAGAAAUAAGAAAAUUAAUAGAAAAGCCUGUGCCUUCUGGCUCCACAUACAUUCAUUUUGAACCAUAUAUUGUGUCAGCAAAUUAUGGGAACAGUGUGACUGCAUUGGAAUACAACUUCAAACAGUUUUCUGUACUGCUGGAAAACCUAAUGUCUGAUCACAAGGAAGAUUUGGGGAAAAUUGCCCAUACUAUGAAAAUCAUGAAAACUAUUGAGCAAAUGAAGCUUGCCUGUGUCCGAAAUGAUAUAUCUCCCAUUUCUCUUCUUAUAUGUCAAAUGCUCAAAAAUAAAAGGAAAGCCCAGGAACUGAAAAAAAAUAAAGAUUUGAAAAUUUCAAUGAACAGACCUGGGAAAACUGCCAGAAAAGCCAGUAUCUGUCUCAGUAAGUCUCCAACUCCAGGGUAUCUAGUCAAAAAUGAUUCAAGUUCACGUCAAAAAAAAUCUGUCACUUUUGCCAAGUGUGAAGACUCAGAAACCCGUGAAGAGCAUCACCCUUCCAAGAUGCAGAGAUCCAAAGGUAGCUACUUCCACAAUAGAAGUCCCAGAAACCAGAAAUGAAAAUGAAGCAUCCAGCUAUCCAAGUCUCAGUCAGUUGGUUACUCUGAUGUCGAAGAACCACAAAGGAAUAAUUUUGGACAAUAUCCAGCAUAUGUAUAUAUAUAUUAAUUCACAUAUGCCCACCCUAUGCAACUCUCAGCUGACACUGUGUUCACAUUGUACUUCAAGUCAUCCCACUAGCUGCCCUGUAUUCAUAGCCAGUGGCUAUGGAACUUCCAUCAGAAAUUGCUUGGACCUGUGAGUCGCAGCAGCAAGAACUUGUUAAGCUGAAAAUAUCCCUUCAUCUUCAGAAAUAAAGAAAGUUGAACAGUUUUUUUUUUGUUUAGCACUUUUUCUUGUAUUUUUUUAAGAAAAUAAUAGUUAAUGUUUGAAACAGUGCUGAAUAUAUAGUGAAUAACCCUUAAAAGGAUUUUAAAUUCUUAGAUAUUUCACUAAAAAACAGAAAAUGAUUUUUAAAUGUUUUUAGAAGUCAAAACUAUUCUUCUUGUUCUGUUUUAUCUGUAACAGGUGGCUAACGAGAAUUUUCCUAUGUCAUGCCAUACCAUUUAGAAAUGUUUACUGUAAAUUUUACGUAUUCCUUAUACACAGAAAUUCCUGACUCCAUUCUUAUAAGGGGAAAAGGAAUAAAUGCAGUAUCUAGGUGAAAGUAGGAUGUAGUUAAUAUUUUACAAAAAUAAUUUCAAAACAAAAGAUUUUGUCUCAAGCUCUAAACAAGUACUCAACAAAAAGUACUCUUUAGGCAAAUUGAGCCAAAGUUGGUCUUCAAGUCUCUUCUAGAGAGCAAAAUAAAAGUAUUUAAUUUUAUUUAUUGGAUGUUUGAUGGUCAGUAUGCUAGUACUAGUUAAGCUCCAUAUGAACAUAUGACUUUCCUGUAUUUAAUCUGCAUAUAAUACAGUUUUCAUUUUGUAUAUUUAUACAUGUAAAAUGUUAAAGCCUAUAGAAAUUGAUUUUUGUAUUUUCAGGAUUUUCUUUAAGGAGUAAUUUAUUUUCAUAAUUUAGAAUAGUUGAAAAGUUUCUAAGCUCUGGGGUUCAUUGCUUUGAAAACUUUAAUGGGUACCGUGUUCUUUUCUCGGUGGAUGGAUACUAUAAGAGUCCUAUAUACUAUUUCUAAAGUUUCUACAGUUCUUUUUGUAUGUAUCACAAUAGGACAUAUAGCAAAUAAAACAAAAUAAUUGGCAUAGCCAUAGAAGCAAUUCUGCAAUUCAGACUGUAGACUUCUUAGUAGGUGUUUUAGGUUCAUUAGUAAUAAGAUUUUUAUUAAAGCCAAACUAAAAAAGCUAUCAUAACUGUUUGGCCGCUGAGAUGAGAUGAGCAAUAACUUCAAGGAUCCUCUCUUGUUUCACAUUGUCUUCCCUGCUCAAUAACUUCACCUACCAGUACAUCAUUUAAAAACAAACAAAACUUUUUAGAACUUUUCCCUUUGUAUUACAAAAGAAUGGCAGGAAUCAAUCCUCCUGCUAAACCUAAGCUGACGGCACAUUCAGAGCUCCAACAUUAUCCAGUAAUGUGUACAUUCAUUGAUUAACGCAGAAAAACAUUUAACACUGUAGUGCUUUCACACAGUGGUAUAAUCCUGACUCAACUAUACUGAUCUACAAGAAAUGAUUCCUCAAGGAACCUUCAUUUGAUGGCGUAACAUACCCUGGGAUUGCCUCUUAGUUCUGGUUGUUAGAAAGAGAUCAGAACCUAGGAACCAUAGGAUUGCUUUUGUGAAAAAUGUAUCCUAAACAUCUGUUGGAAAUCAAAGGAAGAGUACAUCCUAAACCACUAACUUAAGAGAGUAAAUAAAGCAUAAAUAAUAAAGCAUAACAUAAAAGCAGUGUGUUACAGGUGAUAAGAUUGGAAAACCUUGACCAGCAGAUUGCUAGAUGAACAAUUAAAACCUACUGAUUGAAAGCAGUCUCUUAAUACUAGUUUUGUUUCUUUUUCCAUCCUAUAACUUUUUUCAGUUUCAGUUUAACUUUGGUGAUAGAUUGUUUAAAAUGCAUAAUAAAAAUGUUUCCACCGAGAAAUGCAAAACUUUAGUAUUCUUGUAAAAGAACUGUGUCUGCAAAUCACUUUAUUCUUGUAUCCUGCUUUUGCUUCAUUUGUUAUGCAUCAACAAAACUCUUAUUUUACAUUGUAUAACAACUAUUUCAAAAUUCCAGGGACAAUUGUUUUUGUUAAACUAAAAAAUAAAAAAAAAUGAAUUAUAUGA